UGAGUACAAGAUGCUACGGCAUUGAAGCAGUCUAUGUCAUACUUCCAAGAAAAGCUUGCAAUGUCAUAAACAAAUAAUGCCUGUACCAUAACCGACACAGGUGGGUAGGUAGAGUAUACUAAGAGGCGCGAGAUAACUCUCUCUAAGGAACUCGGCAAAAUGACUCCGUAACUUCGGGAGAAGGAGUACCUUAUUUUAUAAGGUUGCAAUAACAAGGUCCAAGCAACUGUUUACCAAAAACACAGGUCUCCGCUAAGUCGUAAGACGAUGUAUGGGGGCUGACGCCUGCCCAGUGCCAGAAGGUUAAAGAAGUUGGUUAGCAUUAGCGAAGCUGAUAACUGAAGCCCUGGUGAACGGCGCCGUAACUAUAACGGUCCUAAGGUAGCGAAAUUCCUUGUCGGGUAAGUUCCGACCCGCACGAAAGGCGUAAUGAUUUGGAUACUGUCUCGGAGAGGGGCUCGGUGAAAUAGACUUGUCUGUGAAGAUGCGGACUACCUGCACCUGGACAGAAAGACCCUAUGAAGCUUUACUGUAACUUGAGAUUGAAAUUGGACUUUAUUUGCGCAGUAUAGGUGGGAGACCUCGAAAGUAUUCUUGCGGGAAUAUUGGAGUCAUCAGUGAGAUACCACUCUUAUAAUGUUAGAUUUCUAACUUUGUAUCAUUAUCUGGUCAAAGAACAGUUUCAGGCGGGCAGUUUGACUGGGGCGGUCGCCUCCCAAAUGGUAACGGAGGCGCACAAAGGUUUCCUCUGAACGUGUAGAAAUCGUAUCUAGAGUGUAAAGGCAUAAGGAAGCUUGACUGUGAGACCUACAAGUCGAGCAGGGACGAAAGUCGGUCUUAGUGAUCUGACGGUGCUGAGUGGAAAGGCCGUCACUCAACGGAUAAAAGUUACUCUAAGGAUAACAGGCUGAUCUCCCCCAAGAGUUCACAUCGACGGGGAGGUUUGGCACCUCGAUGUCGGCUCAUCGCAUCCUGGGGCGGUAGUACGUCCCAAGGGUUGGGCUGUUCGCCCAUGAAAGCGGUACGCGAGCUGGGUUCAGAACGUCGUGAGACAGUUCGGUCCAUAUCCGGUGUAGGCGUUAGAAUAUUGAGAGGAGCCUUCUUUAGUACGAGAGGACCGAGAAGGACAUACCUCUGGUGUACCAGUUAUCGUGCCAACGGUAAACGCUGGGUAGCUAUGUAUGGAGAGGAUAACCGCUGAAAGCAUCUAAGUUGGAAGCCCACCUCAAGAUAAGUAUUCCC
rnacentral:rRNA from 1 species